CACAAGCACCACUGCUUAACCAACAGGGAGUCCACAGCACCACCUUCCUGAAACGGGGAAAACUGGAUCCCUGGUGGAAUUCACGAACAGAGCCAAACAAAGAGUCUUCUUAUGAUAGCCCACAGGACAGAGCAGCAUGCCCAGCACACACACAGGAAGCAGAGCUGUCCCUGUGUUUAUACCAAUCUAGCGCCUGUGCUGCGCAAAACAGAAGCACCAUCUUGCUGCCGUUGGCCGCUGUCCGGUAUCCUCGGUGCCUAGGACAGCAGUGUGACUUUUAAAUGGCACCAGGCAAAUGUUUGCAGAUGAAAGCUUUGGAGUCAUUGUGCAUUCCCAAUUGUCAAACUUUUCUCCAUUUGGGAAAAGACUGUACCUAACUAUGGAGUGGGCAGGCAUUUCUCUCAGAGCUCAUAGAUGGGUUGACCCAUCUACGCCUUCAU